rnacentral:rRNA from 1 species
AUACGAGGGGUGCAAGUGUUGUUCGGAAUUACUGGGCGUAAAGGGAGCGUAGGCGGAAAUUUAAGUCAGAUGUUUAAUCCCGGGGCCCAACCCCGGUCUAGCGUUUGAUACUGGAUUUCUUGAAUAUAGUAGAGGUGGAUGGAAUUCCCGGUGUAGCGGUGGAAUGCGUAGAUAUCGGGAGGAACACCAGUUGCGAAGGCGAUUCACUGGACUAAUAUUGACGCUGAGGCUCGAAAGCGUGGGGAGCGAACAGGAUUAGAAACCCUAGUAGUCC